rnacentral:rRNA from 1 species
CCGUAACGAGCGCAACCCUGUCCUUAGUUACCAGCACGUUAUGGUGGGCACUCUAAGGAGACUGCCGGUGACAAACCGGAGGAAGGUGGGGAUGACGUCAAGUCAUCAUGGCCCUUACGGCCUGGGCUACACACGUGCUACAAUGGUCGGUACAAAGGGUUGCCAAGCCGCGAGGUGGAGCUAAUCCCAUAAAACCGAUCGUAGUCCGGAUCGCAGUCUGCAACUCGACUGCGUGAAGUCGGAAUCGCUAGUAAUCGUGAAUCAGAAUGUCACGGUGAAUACGUUCCCGGGCCUU